rnacentral:rRNA from 1 species
UUUGAAAUUUUAAUUUAAUGUUUAUAUAUUUUUGUGUAGUGAGUAAUUAUAUUUUAAGAAAAGUAAUUUAAUUUAGGGGGGUUUUAGUAAUUUAUUUAUAAUAAAUUUAUUUUUAUAUAGUUUUAAUGUAUUGUAAAAGAACAAUUUUCUAUUAAAUGAAGUAAAUUAAUUUUUUACCUUUUGUAUCAGGGUUUAUUAAAUAAUUAAUAUAUAUUUUAUUGAUCUCGAAAUUAAAAGAGCUAAUUAUAAAUUAUUUUUUAUGUUACAUAAUAAUUAUAAAUUUAUAAUUGGAGGUGAGAUGUUAUUCGAUUUUAUUGAUAUCUAGUUUUUUUUGAAAUGAAUUUAAUUCAUAUAUUUAAUUUAAUAAUAAAAUUGUUUUUUAUUUUUGUUAAAUAUAAAAAAUUUAUGGGAUAACCUAUAAAUUUAUGUUACUAUUAAUUGGGCUUAUUUAAAAAUUGUGGUUUUAAAAUUUAAUUUCAUUUGGGAUAAUUUAAUAAUUUAUUUUAUUUAAUUAAAAAUUUAUUAAUUUGAUGUAAGGGUUUAAGAAUAAAUUUUGUAUUAAUUAUUAAUAUAUAGUUAUAAUGAUAAUAUUAGUAGUUAAUUUUAGUAAAAAUAUUUGUAUAAAAGGAAAUAAAUUUAAGGAAUUCGGCAAAUUAAAAAUAUUCACCUGUUUAUCAAAAACAUGUCUUUUUGUUUAAUAAUUUAAAGUCUGCUCUGCCCAAUGAAUUAUUUUAAAUGGCUGCAGUAUACUGACUGUACAAAGGUAGCAUAAUAAUUAGUCUUUUUAUUGAAGGCUUGAAUGAAUGAGUUGAUGAAAUAUUUACUGUCUCUAAUUUAAAUUAUUAAUUUAAAUUUUAAGUAAAAAUGCUUAAAUUUUUAUAUGGGACGAGAAGACCCUAUAGAAUUUUAUAGUUUGUUUAAUAUAGUUUUUUAUAUAAAUAAAUUAUUUUAUUGGGAGGAUAUUUAAAUUUAUUUAACUUUAAAAAAUUUAACCAAUUAUUUUUGUUUAAAAAGAUAGUUUAUUAAAAAUUGUUAGAGAAAAUUACCUUAGGGAUAACAGCGUAAUAUCUUUGGAGAGUUCAUAUUUAUAAAGAUGAUUGCGACCUCGAUGUUGAAUUAAAAUAUAAUUUAAAUGCAGGAGUUUAAAUUUUAAGUCUGUUCGACUUUUAAUAUUUUACAUGAUUUGAGUUCAGAUCGGUGUGAGCCAGAUCGGUUUCUAUCUAUAUUUAUUGUAUAAAUUUUUGUACGAAAGGACUUAAUUUAUAAAUUAUUUUUUUUUAUUAUAUUGAGAUUAAUAAAUGGGGAGUAACUUCCUUGGCAGAAUAGUGCGUUAAGUUUAGAAUUUAAAAUAUGUAAAUUG